CAGUGUCUUGCAAAUCCCAUAGGAAAGCACUGGACCAAUGCUUUCCGAUGGGGAAAGCACUGGACCAAUGCUUUCCGAUGGGGAAAGCCUAAUGCGUGUGGCGCUUGACAUGCAUGCGCAUUAGGUUACCACUCAUGCUGACAUCAGUGGAGAUGGAGCCAGUGCCGAGGGACCUCAGUGAUGGAAUCGGUGAAAUGUUUAAAGCGUUAUUAAACACUUUGUUUUCCGUGUGGCACGAAGGGACAGAGGAACAUGUAGUGUUAGGAAUACAGCUUUGUAUUCAACAUUAGUUUCUUUAAAUGUAUUUCUGAAGACAGGCACAAAUAAGUCAUUUUAUCUAAAAUGGAGUUGAUACAGUUUAAAAGUUGUGAAGCCCAGUAAAGAAUCUGGUUUGUUUUUUAAACUUUUUCUGGAUUUCAAAAUUGUUCAUUCAAGAAACGGG